CUAACCCUCUGAGCUAAGUGGGC
rnacentral:tRNA from 1 species